rnacentral:rRNA from 1 species
GUUGUAUGGUUAAGUGACUAAGCGUACACGGUGGAUGCCUGGGCAGUCAGAGGCGAUGAAGGACGUACUAACUUGCGAUAAGCGCAGAUAAGGCAGUAAGAGCCGUUUGAGUCUGCGAUUUCCGAAUGGGGAAACCCAACUGCAUAAGCAGUUACUGUUAACUGAAUACAUAGGUUAACAGAGCAAACCGGGGGAACUGAAACAUCUAAGUACCCCGAGGAGAAGAAAUCAACCGAGAUUCCGGUAGUAGCGGCGAGCGAACCUGGAUUAGCCCUUAAGCACUCGGUGAAGUAGGUGAACAAGCUGGAAAGCUUGGCGAUACAGGGUGAUAGCCCCGUAACCGACGCUUCAUCGAGCGUGAAAUCGAGUAGGGCGGGACACGUGAUAUCCUGUCUGAAUAUGGGGGGACCAUCCUCCAAGGCUAAAUACUCCUGACUGACCGAUAGUGAACCAGUACCGUGAGGGAAAGGCGAAAAGAACCCCUGUGAGGGGAGUGAAAUAGAACCUGAAACCGUGUACGUACAAGCAGUAGGAGCACCUUCGUGGUGUGACUGCGUACCUUUUGUAUAAUGGGUCAGCGACUUAUAUUCAGUGGCAAGGUUAACCGUAUAGGGGAGCCGUAGCGAAAGCGAGUCUUAACUGGGCGCUCAGUCUCUGGAUAUAGACCCGAAACCGGGUGAUCUAGCCAUGGGCAGGUUGAAGGUUGAGUAACAUCAACUGGAGGACCGAACCGACUAAUGUUGAAAAAUUAGCGGAUGACUUGUGGCUAGGGGUGAAAGGCCAAUCAAACUCGGAGAUAGCUGGUUCUCCCCGAAAGCUAUUUAGGUAGCGCCUCGGACGAAUACUACUGGGGGUAGAGCACUGUUAAGGCUAGGGGUCAUCCCGACUUACCAACCCUUUGCAAACUCCGAAUACCAGUAAGUACUAUCCGGGAGACACACGGCGGGUGCUAACGUCCGUCGUGGAGAGGGAAACAACCCAGACCGCCAGCUAAGGUCCCAAAGUAUUGCUAAGUGGGAAACGAUGUGGGAAGGCUCAGACAGCUAGGAUGUUGGCUUAGAAGCAGCCAUCAUUUAAAGAAAGCGUAAUAGCUCACUAGUCGAGUCGGCCUGCGCGGAAGAUGUAACGGGGCUAAGCAAUACACCGAAGCUGCGGCAAUAUCUUUUAGAUAUUGGGUAGGGGAGCGUUCUGUAAGCCGUUGAAGGUGAAUCGUAAGGUUUGCUGGAGGUAUCAGAAGUGCGAAUGCUGACAUGAGUAACGACAAAGGGGGUGAAAAACCUCCUCGCCGGAAGACCAAGGGUUCCUGUCCAACGUUAAUCGGGGCAGGGUGAGUCGACCCCUAAGGUGAGGCCGAAAGGCGUAAUCGAUGGGAAACGGGUUAAUAUUCCCGUACUUCUGACUAUUGCGAUGGGGGGACGGAGAAGGCUAGGUGGGCCAGGCGACGGUUGUCCUGGUUCAAGUGCGUAGGCUUGAGAGUUAGGUAAAUCCGGCUCUCUCUAAGGCUGAGACACGACGUCGAGCUGCUACGGCAGUGAAGUCAUUGAUGCCAUGCUUCCAGGAAAAGCCUCUAAGCUUCAGAUAGUCAGGAAUCGUACCCCAAACCGACACAGGUGGUCGGGUAGAGAAUACCAAGGCGCUUGAGAGAACUCGGGUGAAGGAACUAGGCAAAAUGGUACCGUAACUUCGGGAGAAGGUACGCUCUUGAUGGUGAAGUCCCUCGCGGAUGGAGCUGACGAGAGUCGCAGAUACCAGGUGGCUGCAACUGUUUAUUAAAAACACAGCACUGUGCAAAAUCGCAAGAUGACGUAUACGGUGUGACGCCUGCCCGGUGCCGGAAGGUUAAUUGAUGGGGUUAGCGCAAGCGAAGCUCUUGAUCGAAGCCCCGGUAAACGGCGGCCGUAACUAUAACGGUCCUAAGGUAGCGAAAUUCCUUGUCGGGUAAGUUCCGACCUGCACGAAUGGCGUAAUGAUGGCCACGCUGUCUCCACCCGAGACUCAGUGAAAUUGAAAUCGCUGUGAAGAUGCAGUGUACCCGCGGCUAGACGGAAAGACCCCGUGAACCUUUACUACAGCUUGGCACUGAACAUUGAACCUACAUGUGUAGGAUAGGUGGGAGGCUAUGAAGACGUGACGCCAGUUGCGUUGGAGCCGUCCUUGAAAUACCACCCUUGUAUGUUUGAUGUUCUAACUUAGACCCGUUAUCCGGGUUGAGGACAGUGCCUGGUGGGUAGUUUGACUGGGGCGGUCUCCUCCCAAAGAGUAACGGAGGAGCACGAAGGUGGGCUAAUCACGGUUGGACAUCGUGAGGUUAGUGCAAUGGCAUAAGCCCGCUUAACUGCGAGAAUGACGGUUCGAGCAGGUGCGAAAGCAGGUCAUAGUGAUCCGGUGGUUCUGUAUGGAAGGGCCAUCGCUCAACGGAUAAAAGGUACUCCGGGGAUAACAGGCUGAUACCGCCCAAGAGUUCAUAUCGACGGCGGUGUUUGGCACCUCGAUGUCGGCUCAUCACAUCCUGGGGCUGAAGUCGGUCCCAAGGGUAUGGCUGUUCGCCAUUUAAAGUGGUACGCGAGCUGGGUUUAGAACGUCGUGAGACAGUUCGGUCCCUAUCUGCCGUGGGCGUUGGAAGAUUGAAGGGGCUGCUCCUAGUACGAGAGGACCGGAGUGGACGAACCUCUGGUGUUCGGGUUGUGUCGCCAGACGCAUUGCCCGGUAGCUAAGUUCGGAAUUGAUAAGCGCUGAAAGCAUCUAAGCGCGAAGCGAGCCCUGAGAUGAGUCUUCCCUGAUACUUUAAGUAUCCUAAAGGGUUGUUCGAGACUAGAACGUUGAUAGGCAGGGUGUGUAAGCGUUGUGAGGCGUUGAGCUAACCUGUACUAAUUGCCCGUGAGGCUUAACCAUACAACACCCAAGGGGUUUUGUA